AGUCUUCUUUGCAGCCCCAGCAACGACAGGUUGCAGUGAGCUGAUAGGCAGGCUGUCCUUCUCUUGAAUCAUUGCUACGUGAAAUAAAACAGCCAUAAAAACUAGUCUUGGUAAAGAGCUACAAAUGGACAGUAGGAACGUCAAUAGAAAGCACAACUUACAGAUGGUAUGCUGAUGAGCAAGUAUACCAAUCUGUCGAAUCCCAGAUUCUGCUGCU
rnacentral:misc_RNA from 1 species